CGGGGUGUGGCGCAGCAUGGUCAGCGCGCAGCGCUUGGGACGCUGAGGUCGCCCGUUCGAAUCGGGCCACCCCGACCA
rnacentral:tRNA from 1 species